UAAUACAGAGGGUGCGAACGUUGCUCGGAAUUACUGGGCGUAAAGCGCGUGUAGGCGGAUCCAUAAGUCGGGCGUGAAAUCCCCAGGCUCAACCUGGGAACUGCGCUCGAAACUGUAGGUCUAGAGUGUCGGAGAGGAUGGCGGAAUUCCUGGUGUAGAGGUGAAAUUCGUAGAUAUCAGGAGGAACACCGGUGGCGAAGGCGGCCAUCUGGACGACAACUGACGCUGAGACGCGAAAGCGUGGGGAGCAAACAGGAUUAGAUACCCUGGUAGUCCACGCCGUAAACGAUGGGUGCUAGGUGUCUCGGGUAUUGACCCCUGAGGUGCCGUAGCUAACGCGUUAAGCACCCCGCCUGGGAAGUACGGUCGCAAGACUA
rnacentral:rRNA from 1 species